AGUCUUAUAUUCAAUAAUGAUUUUAAAUUGCAAAUUUGAAGGUGAAUUUUAUUCUUAGACUU
rnacentral:tRNA from 1 species